ensembl:lncRNA
AUCACCGGGGUCUGACAGACGUUCCUUGUAACAGUCUCUCUCUUUCUCUCUCCACCCAGCGCUAAUCAGCCACACUCAUUACUGACGCUGAUUAAACUGCAAAUUAGCCAGCGGCGGCCCUCGCGCGCUUCGCUCAAUAUCAAUUAAGGCGAGCAGCUUGCGCGCGCUCUCGGGAAUGCCAUCCAAAUGCUUGAUCGUGUCACUUAUUAGUUUGGAAAACUAGGAAAAUACCAAUAAUCAACCGUCAAGGGAAUAAAAGAGACAAAAAUGUCUUCUGUAGCCGCCGUCAUUUGGCGUGUCAGCGAGUAAGAGAAUGCAUUAUCUUUGGCUUUUUAAAUUCACUAUUGGCUCUAAUGAAUCGCAUUAAGCCGUGUCGAAUCUGAAAUCCUACAUCAUUAGGUCGUUCCGGUUAGCAAUGAGAGUGAAACAUUUUUUUCCCCCCUUUCCAACCUCUUUAGCUUUGAAGUUAAUGACGAGUGAUUUUUAUUUAUUUAUUUAAUUAGAACGGAUUGCAGCGAUUCUGUCUCCCACAUCUCGUAGAUCUGAAGUGGCCAAGCGAUAAUAAAUAAAACAUAAAUGGCUCAAAAGGCACGCUAAUAUGCAAAUAAAGUGUAUACGCAGAACUCCCCAACCCCCCAACUAACAACCUUCAGGCCUAAGGUAGCCUCAUCUGGUAAUUCCUGCAGGAACGGUGCUCUGGAAUGGUGCUCAGUAUCAGCACAUCCUGCCACAGUGGAUGAAGAUGAAGACACCACUUCUGCUGUGACAGAGGUACAAAAUGAAGAUGCUGGGAGGACCACAGAGAUUAUGGCUGGGGAUUCCUGUACAGAGGAAGGUCCAUCUACAUCCACACAGAAUGUAAAAAUUGUUUGCAGUUGUCCUGAUUAAAAAUAUUUGGUCUGUGUAUUACAGAUUAUAUAUCAAUUAUAUUGAAUUAUCAUUCUGUCUUCCAAGCUGCCUGAAAAAGGAGCUGUAUAAGGUCCAUCUUCAAAUGCAAAUUAGAAAAGUUGAUCUGGAGCUGGACCUUCUACAACUACAAAUGGAGAAGAAAAAAAAAACGUGAACUUAAAAAGGCCAGUCUUGAAACUGAAUUGCUGAAGCACUGGUAUUUUUAAGCAAAUAUUAAGUAUUUACCUAGUGAUUAUUGUUGAAUGGUCAAGCAAUAAAUAGAAAUGUCUUUCAAUUAGAGGAAAUAAAGAAACAAUGAACCACACUUAACUGUUCACUUUGUGCAUUAGUCAUUUAAUUAGAAAUGAUGUUGGCAGAUCACAUUACACUCUGCAAUCUCUUUGGUUCACUCUUGCUAUCUUCAUAAAUGGUUCAUCAUGGUUUAUGGCCAGAGAACUUCACAACAUUGUGUAGACCAGCUCAUUGAUGGUUAGACCAAUUUUAAC